AUUGAACGCUGGCGGCAGGCCUAACACAUGCAAGUCGAACGGUAACAGGAAGCAGCUUGCUGCUUUGCUGACGAGUGGCGGACGGGUGAGUAAUGUCUGGGAAACUGCCUGAUGGAGGGGGAUAACUACUGGAAACGGUAGCUAAUACCGCAUAACGUCGCAAGACCAAAGAUGGAGACCUUAGGGCCUCUUGCCAUCGGAUGUGACCAGAUGGGAUUAGCUAGUAGGUGGGGUAACGGCUCACCUAGGCGACGAUCCCUAGCUGGUCUGAGAGGAUGACCAGCCACACUGGAACUGAGACACGGUCCAGACUCCUACGGGAGGCAGCAGUGGGGAAUAUUGCACAAUGGGCGAAAGCCUGAUGCAGCCAUGCCGCGUGUAUGAAGAAGGCCUUCGGGUUGUAAAGUACUUUCAGCGGGGAGGAAGGGAGUAAAGUUAAUACCUUUGCUCAUUGACGUUACCCGCAGAAGAAGCACCGGCUAACUCCGUG
rnacentral:rRNA from 1 species